CUGUGAAAACUGUCACUGCCAGUGGACACCACCAGUGCCUGGCACGAUCGAUUUGCAUACGGCGUUUGCAAUUGAUGUUUUUAGGUCAUAUGAAGACUUCAAAAUCAGCUGUCCUGACACGCUUUCACCCGAAUGCUGGAAAGUUGCUCAGUUCAUGCUGGCAGGGUCGGGUCUGGUGAGAUUUUCCAAAGAAGUUUCUUAGAGUGGACAUACUGCCGUCACAAAAUUGAAAAAUUGCUUGGAGAUGACCAUUUCUCAUGUCCUGCCUGUGGAGAUGAUAUUGUUGCACUGAGCCUUGAUGGCAACAGAAAACUUUAUUGUUUCAAUCGUAAAGGGACUGAUGAAAGCCUAUACUUUGAACGGACCUUCAUC